rnacentral:rRNA from 1 species
GGGUUGUGAGGUUAAGCGACUAAGCGUACACGGUGGAUGCCCUGGCAGUCAGAGGCGAUGAAGGACGUGCUAAUCUGCGAAAAGCGUCGGUAAGGUGAUAUGAACCGUUACAGCCGGCGAUGUCCGAAUGGGGAAACCCAGUGCAAUUCGUUGCACUAUCGUUAACUGAAUACAUAGGUUAACGAGGCGAACCGGGGGAACUGAAACAUCUAAGUACCCCGAGGAAAAGAAAUCAACCGAGAUUCCCCCAGUAGCGGCGAGCGAACGGGGAGCAGCCCAGAGUCUGAAUCAGCUUGUGUGUUAGUGGAACGGUCUGGAAAGUCCGACGGUACAGGGUGAUAGUCCCGUACACCAAAAUGCACAGGCUGUGAACUCGAAGAGUAGGGCGGGACACGUGGUAUCCUGUCUGAAUAUGGGGGGACCAUCCUCCAAGGCUAAAUACUCCUGACUGACCGAUAGUGAACCAGUACCGUGAGGGAAAGGCGAAAAGAACCCCGGCGAGGGGAGUGAAAAAGAACCUGAAACCGUGUACGUACAAGCAGUGGGAGCACCUUCGGGUGUGACUGCGUACCUUUUGUAUAAUGGGUCAGCGACUUAUAUUCUGUAGCAAGGUUAACCGUAUAGGGGAGCCGCAGGGAAACCGAGUCUUAACUGGGCGUUAAGUUGCAGGGUAUAGACCCGAAACCCGGUGAUCUAGCCAUGGGCAGGUUGAAGGUUGGGUAACACUAACUGGAGGACCGAACCGACUAAUGUUGAAAAAUUAGCGGAUGACUUGUGGCUGGGGGUGAAAGGCCAAUCAAACCGGGAGAUAGCUGGUUCUCCCCGAAAGCUAUUUAGGUAGCGCCUCGUGAAUUCAUCUUCGGGGGUAGAGCACUGUUUCGGCUAGGGGGUCAUCCCGACUUACCAACCCGAUGCAAACUACGAAUACCGAAGAAUGUUAUCACGGGAGACACACGGCGGGUGCUAACGUCCGUCGUGAAGAGGGAAACAACCCAGACCGCCAGCUAAGGUCCCAAAGUCAUGGUUAAGUGGGAAACGAUGUGGGAAGGCACAGACAGCCAGGAUGUUGGCUUAGAAGCAGCCAUCAUUUAAAGAAAGCGUAAUAGCUCACUGGUCGAGUCGGCCUGCGCGGAAGAUGUAACGGGGCUAAACCAUGCACCGAAGCUGCGGCAGCGACACUAUGUGUUGUUGGGUAGGGGAGCGUUCUGUAAGCCUGCGAAGGUGUGCUGUGAGGCAUGCUGGAGGUAUCAGAAGUGCGAAUGCUGACAUAAGUAACGAUAAAGCGGGUGAAAAGCCCGCUCGCCGGAAGACCAAGGGUUCCUGUCCAACGUUAAUCGGGGCAGGGUGAGUCGACCCCUAAGGCGAGGCCGAAAGGCGUAGUCGAUGGGAAACAGGUUAAUAUUCCUGUACUUGGUGUUACUGCGAAGGGGGAACGGAGAAGGCUAUGUUAGCCGGGCGACGGUUGUCCCGGUUUAAGCAUGUAGGCUGAUUGUCCAGGCAAAUCCGGAUAAUCAAGGCUGAGGUGUGAUGACGAGGCACUACGGUGCUGAAGUAACAAAUGCCCUGCUUCCAGGAAAAGCCUCUAAGCAUCAGGUAACAUUAAAUCGUACCCCAAACCGACACAGGUGGUCAGGUAGAGAAUACCAAGGCGCUUGAGAGAACUCGGGUGAAGGAACUAGGCAAAAUGGUGCCGUAACUUCGGGAGAAGGCACGCUGGUGUGUAGGUGAAGCCCCUGCGGGUGGAGCUGAGACCAGUCGAAGAUACCAGCUGGCUGCAACUGUUUAUUAAAAACACAGCACUGUGCAAACACGAAAGUGGACGUAUACGGUGUGACGCCUGCCCGGUGCCGGAAGGUUAAUUGAUGGGGUUAUCCGUAAGGAGAAGCUCUUGAUCGAAGCCCCGGUAAACGGCGGCCGUAACUAUAACGGUCCUAAGGUAGCGAAAUUCCUUGUCGGGUAAGUUCCGACCUGCACGAAUGGCGUAAUGAUGGCCAGGCUGUCUCCACCCGAGACUCAGUGAAAUUGAACUCGCUGUGAAGAUGCAGUGUACCCGCGGCAAGACGGAAAGACCCCGUGAACCUUUACUAUAGCUUGACACUGAACAUUGAGCCUUGAUGUGUAG